AUGUGAGACUGGCUUCCGGAUGUUGGAGGAGAGAGGAGCGUGUUCAGCCCAGUCUGGAGUGGCAUGUUCUUCUUGGUUCAGCUGGAAGACACAGGCUUCUGAAGCACACACAACAGUGUAAUGCAUUAUCACCUUCGAAGAUUCAGUGGGUCCCUGAAACUCAAACUUGGAUCAAUGACUCCAGCUGAUAUAUUGUAACAGAGGGAGCAACAGAUAUAUGGAGUAGUAACCAAGUAAAGAAGUGACUACGGAAUCUCAAAGAUGGUCCUGAUCUACCAACGACUCACUGGGGUUACUUGGCUGCUUGAACAGCUUGGAUGAGAUGGGAGGCAUCAGCUCCGUUCCUUCUGGUGAAAUGGAAGAUCACUAAACCUUACUUCUGUAGGUCCUGCCUCUGCCUUCUAAGGUCCUCUAGACUUUAUCAUCUGCCCUGACUCUAUACCACCCCAAUUCCAGCACAGUCUUCUGAUAUACUUUUAGGACCCCUCAGUCUUCUUAUCUUCCCCUUAGAAGUAUUGGCCCUCUCUACCUAACAACCUAAAGCUAAACUUUCUUUUAUGCGUUGUCUUCCCCAAUUAGAGUAUGAGCUUCCUCUGAGCAGAGACUAUCAUGAUUUCCCUUUUCUUAUCCCCAGUGUUUCAUCCAGUACUUGACAAUUUGUAAUUAAUAUAUUCUUUUGAUUAAGUAAGUCAUACCUAUGUGACACUAAGCACGUUACUUAAUCCCUCUAAGUAUUAGGAAUCUCAUUUGGGGAUAACCAUGUCUAUAAGAACCUACCUUACAGAAUUCUUGGGCAACUCAGAUAAAAUAUGUGAAAUCUUAAAGUAAAAAUAUAAAGAUGUUAAAACUAUCAUUGUUCUCAACAAUAUCUACCUUAAUCAUUUAAUGAUUAUUUCAUCAUAUCCAAAGGAACCUCAUAGGAUCAUUGAUUUAGAACUUCAUAACCUAGACCAAAGAACUGAGGCCCAUGAGGUUAAGUGACUUGGUUAUAGUCAAACAGGUAAUAAAUUACAGAAUAGUCACUUGAAUCUAAGUCCUAUGAUUUUCCAAUGCUAAACCUAGUG